UACGUAGGCAGCGAGCGUUGUUCGGAAUUAUUGGGCGUAAAGAGCGCGCAGGCGGAUAGGCAAGUCAGAUGUGAAAUCUCGGGGCUCAACUCCGAACGUGCGUCUGAAACUAUCUAUCUAGAAUCUCGGAGAGGAAAGGGGAAUUUCGCAUGUAGGGGUAAAAUCCGUAGAGAUGCGAAGGAACACCGGAGGCGAAGGCGCCUUUCUGGACGAGUAUUGACGCUGAGGCGCGAAAGCGUGGGGAACAAACAGG
rnacentral:rRNA from 1 species